rnacentral:rRNA from 1 species
UACGUAGGUGGCAAGCGUUAUCCGGAUUUAUUGGGCGUAAAGGGAACGCAGGCGGUCUUUUACGUCUGAUGUGAAAGCCUUCGGCUUAACCGGAGUAGUGCAUUGGAAACUGGGAGACUUGAGUGCAGAAGAGGAGAGUGGAACUCCAUGUGUAGCGGUGAAAUGCGUAGAUAUAUGGAAGAACACCAGUGGCGAAAGCGGCUCUCUGGUCUGUAACUGACGCUGAGGUUCGAAAGCGUGGGUAGCAAACAGG